AAAGAUUAAGCCAUGCAUGUCUAAGUAUAAGCAAUUAUACGGCGAAACUGCGAAUGGCUCAUUAAAUCAGUUAUCGUUUAUUUGAUAGUACCUUACUACUUGGAUAACCGUGGUAAUUCUAGAGCUAAUACAUGCUGAAAAUCCCGACUUCGGAAGGGAUGUAUUUAUUAGAUUAAAAACCAAUGCCCUCUGGGCUCCUUGGUGAUUCAUAAUAACUUCUCGAAUCGCAUGGCCUUGCGCCGGCGAUGGUUCAUUCAAAUUUCUGCCCUAUCAACUUUCGACGGCUGGGUCUUGGCCAGCCAUGGUGACAACGGGUAACGGAGGGUUAGGGCUCGACCCCGGAGAAGGAGCCUGAGAAACGGCUACUACAUCCAAGGAAGGCAGCAGGCGCGCAAAUUACCCAAUCCCGACACGGGGAGGUAGUGACAAUAAAUACUGAUACAGGGCUCUUUUGGGUCUUGUAAUUGGAAUGAGUACAAUUUAAAUCCCUUAACGAGGAACAAUUGGAGGGCAAGUCUGGUGCCAGCAGCCGCGGUAAUUCCAGCUCCAAUAGCGUAUAUUAAAGUUGUUGCGGUUAAAAAGCUCGUAGUUGAACCUUGGGCCUGGCUGGCCGGUCCGCCUCACCGCGUGCACUGGUUCGGCCGGGCCUUUCCCUCUGGGGAACCGCAUGCCCUUCACUGGGCGUGUCGGGGAACCAGGACUUUUACUUUGAAAAAAUUAGAGUGUUCAAAGCAGGCCUAUGCUCGGAUACAUUAGCAUGGAAUAAUGAAAUAGGACGUGCGGUUCUAUUUUGUUGGUUUCUAGGACCGCCGUAAUGAUUAAUAGGGACAGUCGGGGGCAUCAGUAUUCAAUUGUCAGAGGUGAAAUUCUUGGAUUUAUUGAAGACUAACUACUGCGAAAGCAUUUGCCAAGGAUGUUUUCAUUAAUCAGGAACGAAAGUUAGGGGAUCGAAGACGAUCAGAUACCGUCGUAGUCUUAACCAUAAACUAUGCCAACUAGGGAUCG
rnacentral:rRNA from 1 species